GACGAACCGUACGAACGUUAUUCGGAAUCACUGGGCUUAAAGGGUGCGUAGGCUGCGCGGAAAGUUGGGUGUGAAAUCCCUCGGCUCAACCGAGGAGCUGCGCCCAAAACUGCCGUGCUCGAGGGAGACAGAGGUGAGCGGAACUUAGGGUGGAGCGGUGAAAUGCGUUGAUAUCCUAAGGAACACCGGUGGCGAAGGCGGGUCUCUGGGCCGAUACUGACACUGAGGAGCGAAAGCGUGGGGAGCGAACAGG
rnacentral:rRNA from 1 species